GGUGGGAGGAUCACUUCAGCCUGGAAGCUGGAGCCUGCAGUGAACUGUGAUUGUACUGCUGCUCUCCAGCCU
rnacentral:miRNA from 1 species